UGUUGUUUCUCUAAUGGUUGGGAAUUGGCAGCCAAUUUUUUUUUCUUUUCCAUGUAUUUAUAUGCAUAUUUGAUCAAUGUGUUUGAAGUAUUUCUUUCUCAAUUUCACUUGUAUCCUAACCCAUACAGUCUAUUAAAUGGAGAAGCUGCUGGUGUGAUAACGCAAUUACACUAUUUAUGUUCAAAGAGUGAAAGGCAAUUAUCCUUCUUAAUUUAGCUUCUAGAUUUGUUAAAUUGAGCCAUAAGUAGUAGGCAUUUGAUUGGGUGGCAGAAAUUUUUAUAUAUUUAAUUUAGAUUAUUUAGUUAUGAGAGUAGGAUAUUUCAUAUCUUGUUUAUUGAAGUAUUGGAAUUUGUAAUAUAUACUAAUAAUAUUAAAUAUGAAAUGAAAGAUUUUGUAACAUAAAUCAAUUUUUUUGUUAUUUUUUGGUGCCUUUCAAUUUUGCCAAUAAAUCAAUGCACAAUGAUCCAAUUCAAAAUUUUAUUUUUUUGAAUAAAUUAAUCAGUGAUACCACGGUAACAAUAAUCAUAGACACUAAAAAAAUAUCAGCAACUACUAAUAUUAUGGUAUCAUAAUAUUGGUGAUAAUGUAGUGAUAGUAAUCACUGACACCAUAUUCGUGAGACCACAAACAAAUGUCAUUAAUUUUGUGACUGUCAGAUUAUUGACACAAUUAACAAGUGUUACUAAAAGUGAUUACUGACAAUAUUUUAAUGUCAAUAAAGUCUAUUUUUCUAAUAGUGCAUGUAAUUAAAUCUCUAUCUUCUCAAUAGAUUUUACACAUAACUUCUCUUUAGAGAUAAUUUCACAAUACCAACAAUGAAUGACACAUCAACUGACUUGUUAUUUAGAACAUAAGCACGUCAUGAUCGAAAAUCGUUUCUAUUUAACGAAACGCUAGACAUGAAAAUCCUCAACAAUGUAUUAUGUGAAUGCCACCUAAUUUUGGUGGCAAAAUCAAGAUUAUAAUUAUGAUGAUAAUGAUAAUAAUCAUGGUCCUUUUUCAUCGUCCCAUAUUUUAAUAACCGAAUUUGGGGACCAAAACGUAGUUUUCAUUACUUGUAAUUCCUUAGUUGUCUGCCAUUGCCAUUUUCUCUAUUUUUUAAAAAAAUAAAACGUAAGAAGAUCAGAAGUUAUUGUUGAAUGUAUAUGCAUUUAUAUGAGGUUUAUAUGCAUUUCGUACAAAAAAUUUUGAUAUUAGUUUAGAAAAAACCCAAAUUAAUUUUUAAAUGCCUUAUAUUAUUGAUGAUUUGAAAUCAGGUAGCCAACCAAAUAAAAUCUUAAAACCCAUUUGGUCAAAUCUCAUGAGAGCAAAAUUUAAACUCUCAAACUAUGGAGUUCUGCAGAAUUUUGAUAUGCGUAUAUGGUGUCAAAGUUUUAUAUGAAGGAAAUAAUAAAUACAGUCUGCUAGUAAUUCAUUCAACAAUUUUUUUUUUCAUAAACACAUAGCACUAUAGUAGGAUGUUAAUGAUUAGAAAGUAACAUCCAUGAAAGGCCCCCUGGCUAGCUUAUUAGCUUUUGUUUGGUUGAAUCAAAAUCAUAAUUGCACUAAAACAAGAGUUGCAUUUAUAGGUAGGAUUGAAAAAGAACCAAGAAAAUGACCGAACAAGGCUACAUAGAAAGCAAGAGACAAAGAUGUAAAGUGAUUUAAAUUAAUUUGCCCACCGACAAGUAUUCGUGGCUCUUGUAACUUGUUCCAAGUCCCAAAUGCCAUGUGCUUGAGCUUCAGCCUUUUAGGUGUACCUAGCAUAAAUGUAAAAGCACUUUUCAAACUUGCCCAAUGAAAAAAUAAGCACUUCUGUACAAAGUGCUGCUACAGAAAGAGGCAAUGCAUGUAAAAGAAGAAAUUAACUUGUAGGGUUUGAUGGUGACAGAAUUAAAGUUUUCAAGACAUAAUUUUUGGGCUAGUGGCGCAUUAACACAAUGCGAAAUUAAUUCAGAAAUUGAUUGCGGAGCUCCUAAUCCUAUUAUGUAACUGAGCUGCAACUUUUAUCUUUGACUUUAAAUUUUCCUUUCUCUUGUGGCGCCCCUUGCGGCCUAACCGGUUAAAGUAUCAAGAUUUUUAUAAGAGAUUAUUAAUACGACUCAUUAAAAAAAAAAUAGCACAACUCAAAUUAGUACUCUAUUAAAAUUAUUAAUUUGGAAGGUUUGGAUUUUAAGAUUUUGAUGAAAAGACGUAAUUUUUCUUUCUAAAUCAUAUCAAUGUUCUCGUUAUGUUGAAUGUUGAGAAUUGCGAGUUAAGAAAGUUUGGUAAUUAAGACAAUUUUCAUUUUUUUAAUUACAUUAUAAUAUACUAUAAUCAAUGGUAAUAAAUAUAAACCUCUAAUAAAAUCUAUCAUGUACGUGAUAACGCAAUCUAAGUAUUUUAGGUCCAAAAUGAACCUGAGUUACAUUGAUAUAUUUGGAAGGAAAAUUAUCUUCUAUAAUGCAUACAAGAUGCAUAACUUGUAAGGGGUUCGCAAAUCGAAUUUUACAAAAUGGAUUGGUGAAAUUCAAUCUAAAUCCAAUCUAAUUCACGGAUUGAUGAAAUUCAAUUUAAAUUCAAUCCAUAUGUUUGUGGAUCGGAUGCGGAUUUGACCCAAUCUAUAUUCAAUCCACAAUUUUGCGGAUUGGUUUGCAGGAUAAAAAUUUUUAAUUUUGUCAUAUCCAUGAACU
rnacentral:lncRNA from 1 species